UACAGAGGGUGCAAGCGUUGUUCGGAAUUAUUGGGCGUAAAGGGCGCGUAGGCGGCAAUUCAAGUCAUCUGUGAAAUCUCCGGGCUUAACUCGGAACGGUCAGAUGAUACUGCUUUGCUAGAGUGCAGAAGGGGCAAUCGGAAUUCUUGGUGUAGCGGUGAAAUGCGUAGAUAUCAAGAGGAACACCUGAGGUGAAGACGGGUUGCUGGGCUGACACUGACGCUGAGGCGCGAAAGCCAGGGGAGCAAACGGG
rnacentral:rRNA from 1 species